rnacentral:tRNA from 1 species
UCCUCCGUAGUUUUGUGGUGAGUAUCCGCGUCUGUCACAUGCGAGACCCGGGUUCAAUUCCCGGCCGGGGAG